CACCAGGCAUUGUGGUCUUUGC
rnacentral:miRNA from 1 species